AGACCAACGACUGCCGCGCGUUCCAUGUCGACACCCUUGCCCUGGUGAGGAAUCUGGAGUCGCAGGGCGUCUCUAGGGCCGAGAUGUAGAAGAGUGAGAUGCUGCAGGAGGCCAACAUCUCCAAGUUGAAGUCACAAGUGCAAAGUUCACAGGUAUUUGUUGGAACUUGGAAGCAAACUCUAUGGUAUUGGAUAUGUUGAUUAGUAGUUUUGAAAUCCGACAUGAGAUCUAUGUCCCGUUCCUCCAUGUAAUGUGUCAUCUCUGUCCCCUUCUUAAUUUUUCACAUGCACUACAUAAUAUCAAGGAGGGAGUAGCUACUAGCUAGUAGCUCUGUCUGGUAGUGAUGUAGUCUCUGGUGAAGCGACAUGUGUGGACGGCAGUCUGCACCAAUAUGCGCACUAGCUAUGUUCAAUGUUCUUUGCUUUACAGGACAUACUAGAAACCAAAUGGCACCCUUUUCUUAAGCACUGUUCAGUUUGUUAAGCACCCUUUUUCUUAUCUCAU